CGGAACAGAAUCUUAUGUUAGAAUGUUCAAAAACCCACACCCUCCACCCACAGGGUUAAACCAAAGAUCCUUUUAACCCUCUCUGGUUAAACUAUGAGGUACAGAUAAUUGAGUCUUUUCAGGUGAUUCUUUCAGGUACAGCAACAGCAUGCCGAACAUGCCACAGAUGACGCGGCUGUUCUUCUGCGUCCACUCCUCGUCACAGAUCUGCCUCCAGCGGCCGCCGUCCUUAAUCUCCACGUAGCCCUCCGUUACUGGGGUCCGCUUACGCAGCGAGGAGAGGAUUGCGCGGAUACGGACGUCCUCCACGUGGAUGUUUAAGCUCUGCAGUCAGAACAUACAUUUAUGUUAACAUGUUUGGAGUAUGCUAGUACUCUCCUAGGAAUGUGAAUAAAUAUGUGUGAAUACCUCUAUA